AACCUCGACAUAGCGAACUGUUCAUAUUCGUAAAAGGAACAACACAAAUUAUUUUAACAAUUGUUGUCGUAAAUGGCUUUCCGUGUUGUCUACACUACAUGAGUGUACCCGAGGGACGGUACACACGAGCCGUGCAUUCUGCAUGAAAAGAUGGCUGAAAUCUUCAAUGACACUUGGAACUGUAUAAGAAGUUGUGUGAGAACUAACGUCUUGGCUGCCAGCAGGAGACCAUCAAGUGCCAACCAAAAAUCAUCAUAGUCUAGCAUGGACUCAGGCUAGGGAAACUACAAACUAUGGACUUGGGCAAUUAGUACUCAGGUACUCAGAUUUAAGUCUUCCUCAAGUCAAGGAUAAGAGGGCUUUUACCAUAACUUUUGGUAUGUUGUUAUUGCCAAGUGCAUUGUGUGUGCAUUUUCUUAUGUGGUUUUGAUGAAUUAAUCCUAUGAUGUGAUCAAAAAGAAGUGAUUCACUGUUUGGAAAAGGCAAUUAAGGUUUUAAAUUUCAUCUUAUUUCAUUUCAUAGCCAUAUAGAUGGCUACACUUGUACUAAAUCACCAAUGAGCCAGUUACGAUUACUGCCUGU